ensembl:lncRNA
AGUGAAACCAGCAUCCUGUCUUUGACUCUUGGGUGGAUCCAUGUAUAAGAUGUACAAUGGCAAAGAAGACUUGCUGUUGCUGCCUCCAUUCUCUACGCCUUAUUUCUGUUGACCAACUGUAUACUUGCCUAUUACUGUGAGUAUUCUCCACCAAUAUAGCAUUGCGCGAAGAAACAAUGUCGCACUUUUUAGAUGGAAUAUAUUGGAUGAAAUUCAAAAAUGGGUUGUAAUGUUUUGCCGACUAGUGUGAAGGCCUUAUCAAUCACUGGUUUCCUCUCCAUGUCUCUCAACUAUGGUCUAGUCACUUUAAUGAACAUCAUUUUAUGGACAAUUGAAUGUUGAAUUUGCCAGUUCAGAGAAGUAAAGCCUGGCAGUCUGCCAGUGGAGUGUGGUAUAAAACCAGUUAGUAGCUCGGACAAAGUUUACAAUCCAGGGUUACUCCAAGCCCUUUGAGGACCAACAGGGAGGUGAAGGCCCUCGGCAGCUUCCACACCAGGUAGCCUAGGGGUUAGAGCGUUGGACUAGUAACCGAAAGGUUGCAAGAUCGAAUCCCCGAGCUGACAAGGUAAAAAUCUGUCAUUCUGCCCCUGAACAAGGCAGUUAACCCACUGUUCCUAGGCCGUCAUUGAAAAUAAGAAUUUGUUCUUAACUGACUUGCCUAGUUAAAUAAAAAAUAAAUAAA